rnacentral:rRNA from 1 species
AAAAUGGAGGAGAACAGUUCUGUUAGUGAGCACAUACUCAGAAUGUCUGGGUUGCACAACCGCUUGUCUCAGCUGGGAGUUAAUCUCCCGGAUGACGCGGUUAUUGACAGAAUCCUCCAGUCGCUUCCACCAAGCUACAAGAGCUUUGUGAUGAACUACAAUAUGCAGGGGAUGGAAAAGACCAUUCCCGAGGUAUAUUCAAUGCUGAAAUCAGCUGAGGUAGAGAUCAGAAAAGAACAUCAAGUGUUGAUGGUGAAUAAAACCACUAAGUUCAAGAAGGGCAGGGGUAAGAAGAACUUCAAGAAGGACGGCAAGGGAGUUGCCGCGCCCGGUAAGCCAGUUACCAGGAAGAAGUCAAAGAAUGGACCCAAGCCCGAGACUGAGUGCUUUUAUUGCAAGGGAAGUGGUCACUGGAAGCGGAACUGCCCCAAAUACUUAGCGGACAAGAAGAAGGCCGGCAACACCCAAGGUAUAUGUGAUAUACAAGUAAUUGAUGUGUACCUUACCAGUACUCGUAGUAGCUCCUGGGUAUUUGAUACCGGUGCGGUUGCUCAUAUUUGUAACUCAAAACAGGAACUACGGAAUAAACGGAGACUGGCGAAGGACGAGGUGACGAUGCGCGUCGGGAAUGGUUCCAAGGUCGAUGUGAUCGCCGUCGGCACGCUACCUCUGCAUCUCCCUACGGGAUUAGUUUUGAACCUCAAUAAUUGUUAUUUAGUGCCAGCUUUGAGCAUGAACAUUGUAUCUGGAUCUCGUUUAAUUCGAGAUGGCUACUCAUUUAAAUCCGAGAAUAAUGGUUGUUCUAUUUAUUUGAGAGAUAUGUUUUAUGGUCAUGCCCCGCUGGUCAAUGGUUUAUUUUUGAUGAAUCUCGAACGUGAUGUUACACAUGUUCAUAGUGUGAAUACCAAAAGAUGUAAAGUUGAUAACGAUAGUCCCACAUACUUGUGGCACUGCCGCCUUGGUCACAUUGGUGUCAAGCGCAUGAAGAAGCUCCAUGCAGAUGGACUUUUGGAGUCUCUUGAUUACAAAUCAUUUGACACGUGCGAACCAUGCCUCAUGGGUAAGAUGACCAAGACUCCGUUCUCCGGAACAAUGGAGCGAGCAACCAACUUAUUGGAAAUCAUACAUACCUAU